UGUAAGCGUAUACCAAAGUUGUUGCAGUUAAAACGCUCGUAGUCGGAAUUUGGCAGUUCCGGAUGUGUGCACGUCGUGUGCGCACUUCGCGGGGAUUGCUUUUGUGGUCUUGCGUAGGAUGAGGCACUUUUAUUAGUGAACGUCCUCACGCAACCACUUUUUACUGUGAGAAAAUCAGAGUGCUCAAAGCGGGCAUUUGCCGUGAAUGUAUUAGCAUGGAAUAAUAGAAUAGGACUUGGUUCUAUUUUGUUGGUUUGUUGGGACUGAGUAAUGAUUAAGAGGGACAGUUGGGGGCAUUUGUAUUUCGGUGCUAGAGGUGAAAUUCUUAGAUUACCGAAAGACAAACUGCUGCGAAAGCGUCUGCCAAGGAUGUUUUCAUUGA
rnacentral:rRNA from 1 species